GUAGGUGAACCUGCGGAAGGAUCAUUAACACGUAUCCAACGUUAUACCCCCUGUGAACUUUCAUACAUUUGCACCUUAGCUUCUCUUUUUGAGAAGGCCCCACGGAUUCGCCGGAACAUCACGCACGGCGACUAGGUGCUCGGGUCCUACCCCCUAUUUUAACCCCUACAGUUUCGUAACUGGGUCGCGUUAAUACGCAGACCUUGAACAACUGUUAACAAUGGAUAUCUUGGUCCUC
rnacentral:misc_RNA from 1 species